UGAUGAUGGUAAGGGAAAUUUUUGAUCAUGCCCUUAAAUCUCUCCUAAGCUUGGUAGAGAUUCUUUCCUUUCUGUCUGAAACUCAGAAUCUCACUUCUCAAAAG
rfam:Capsicum annuum cultivar Zunla-1 chromosome 8, whole genome shotgun sequence